ACGGACAGCGUGUUGUGCGCGUUUGGCUGGAAAAGAGGGGUGGGUCGCUGCGAUCGUGGGCUGCAGGGCGUCCAACGUGAGGGGAUAGACUUUUGUCACUCCGCUUGCCUGCACCCGGCUGCGUCUCCUCCGCUUCAGUCGGGUUGGGCCCACUCAUCAUGUCCUGGGUAGGAGAUUUUGCUCUGUGUGCGUCCUGGGUGAGAGAAAGGGGAGACGUGGGUGGAUCGUGCUGCGCAGUAAAAACCUAGCCACCAAUCCCCGCGUCUCCGAGCAGCCAAUCCAGCCCCGCCUCCGUCCUCCCCAUCUCUCCACUGCGCCGCCUCCUCCUCCCCUUCACUUUUCUCUCCGGCGGCGGCACCAUAGAAGGCGCACACGGGCGGUGGAUCCAUGCCGGUGAAGAGCAGCGGCGGCGGCGCCAUAGAAGGCGCACACAGGCGAUGGAUCCGUGCCGGUGAAGAGUGGUGAAGAGCGGCGGGGACUGCGCUCUGGUCACGGUGGGGUGCAGCCGCGAGGAAGACGUAGGAGGUCCGCCGCCUGUCUUCGCCUCCUCGCCGCGUCCUUGCUGCCUCCAUGGCCAACCGCACGUUUUUUUCUCUGUCCCUCCAUGGCGCUCGUUGCCGGCCGGAUCUUAAUGAACAGGUGACCACCAUGGCGCUUGCUGCUAGCCAUUAAGGAACAAGUGACCCGGGGCAAUAUCCAGUGUGCUGGCUGCGGCGGUGGUCCGUUCCUGAAAUUGGCAAGGAGGGGUAGAUCCUGCGGCUGUGUUUCCAGUGUGCUGGCUGCGGCGGAGGUCCGUUCCUGAACAUGAUCACAAAGUCCCACCUCCUGGCCAUCGCAAGCGGGAAGAGGCCGUCAAGGGAAGCCGACCUGCAGCUACCACGCUCCACGACGCCCUCCCCAAUCAGAGUCCUCUUCUUCCUCACUCAUGCCCUGCCGCGUCGCCGCCCUAGCCACUUCUUCACAGGACAACGGUGGGCCGUCGCGGUUUGCGGCGAACAUCGUUGGGUGCACCCCUGCCGGAUCCAGCCUUUGCUAUUCGCCUACCACCGGCAGGUUGCAAUUCUAGCCAUGGAUAGUCACGAGUGUUCAAUGAUGUAAAUCUACCUGAUAUAUUGUUGAUGGGAAUUAAGUCUAAUGUAGAGUGAUCUAUCUACUACUAGGCAGAUUUCUUUGUAUAAAACAUACAAAUUGUUGCUUUAUAUUCUGAAAUCUUAUUUCUCGGUGUUCAACUGCAGACUAAGUUCAGAUUGUCUUCGUUCCAGAAAUGAAGCAGGUAAUGCUAUAACCUCAGCAGUGUAUGGUCUAGAUUUCGUAAAGAAGGCCGUCUAAUAUUUUACUUAGGUUCAUUCAAAUAUCUUUAUUUGACAUGCAUGUAUUUCUUGUGUGUGCACACUCUCUUAGUUCUAUAUCUCUUUGAUAUGAAUUACUAGCAGACAAAAUUUUCAUGCUUUGAGGUAUUAUCGAUAUUCACUAUUUAAGACGUCAGUUGCCAGCUUAUAUUCUUUUAAAAUUUUAGUGCUGAGCUUGGCUUCUGUUUUAGGAUACAGUUAUGGUACCAUAUGCUCAUUGGUUUCCAUCUGAUUCCUCUUUUUGACAUGGACAUAUACCAUGUGGUAUAAUAUUUAAGAAGAAUGGCUUGGAAAAUUCAAAUAGAUGGUUACUCUUACCCGUAGUUUCUUUGGGAUGCUGAUAGCGUCUAGAGAUGCCUUCUAAUCAAUAAAAGUAAGAUCUGAUCAUGCGCUAUAUGUUGAUUCUCUUACAUAUGUAUUACGAGAAAAUUAAGGCACACAUGUUGAUAUUGGACUGAUGACCUUUCUUCUUCUCAUAUUUUUUAUUAUCUUACCGAUCAACCUCAGAUAGUGCCGGCAAUUGUGCAAAGUAGUUUGCACAUUAGAGGUUUGGUAUGGGAUUCUGAAGAAAACAUUAGCCCUUAUGAUGCCCCAACUUUGUGGCUAUUGCAGCUAUUGUGGCAAGGCACACAUCAUCGUCGUUUCAUAUUGAUAUCCUGAUAUUUUCUUCAGUUUGCUAUUGGCAAAAAUUCUAUAUCCCUGGUUGCUCUCCACAUAUUUCUCCGCAGUGAUAGAAUUUGCAAUCUGGUGUGGCCUUGCGCUCCUACUAUUCUGCUGAAGAAUGAUCAGCAAAUGCAGUGGAUUUGGAGCUGAGCUAUUACUGAAUAUUCACGUCAUCUGUAUUAAUCAGAGGUUACUAAGAUUAGAUGUUGAUUGAUCUGUUCUCUACCCAUGAGGCAGUGGAGAAGAAAGACAACUCUAGGUAUGUAUCCACCAUGCUCUCAUCUCAUGUAAGUGGCGACCUUUUCUUAGUCACAGUGAGUUUGAGGCUUUAACCCCUAUCCUUGCUAGCUGAAACUGGUUUCUUGUUGAAUAAUGCUCAUCGCUCUGUUUUAGGAUGUGACAGCAUACCUUUGUGUUAUUUGGACAUUUUAGAGGGAAAUGCAGCCUUUGUAUAGGUCCGCAUCUUUAGAUUUUGUAACAAAAUAUGUUUAUAAUUUAUACAACUUUUUCUACUAAUAAAAAAUGGUGCUAGCUACAAGCUGCUUGAAAAAAUGUCUAGGAUUUAGGGUCUUAGCAAAAAAACAUGCUCUUUGCUAUGUUUAGGUGGCCACAUCAGUGGUAUGCACAUUGUGGCUCUGGUAAUUACAUACACUCACUUUCUUUUGCAAAAUGUGCAGAUAGUCUAAUGUACACACUAGAUUUUAUCAAUUGACUAAUUCAUGAUUUCACAUUACUAGGCUUCUUGAUUUCAGUACGCAAGAUUGUACCGACGAAAAGAAUCUACUUUGAAUUACUUUACUUGUUAUAAUUAAUGUACGUGGUAAGAUGAGAUUUCUGUCACUCUUUGGGUUGUAAGCAUUAUGUGCAAGUUGGGUGUUCAGUGUACUGCUUGAUGCUCCAUAUUGCAUCACACUGCCUCGAGCAGAAGGACUAAAAUUUGUUUUUGGUUCAUCAUGAAGGAUUGCUGAUGAAGCCAUUGUUUUAGAGUUGGUAAUCAUGUGGCACUAGAUAUGAUGGAGGCACUAAUUAACUUAGUGCUACUAUGAACAUUCUUAUACGAGAUUUUGGAUAUUAGAGUUAAGAAGGUACACAUUCUUCCAAAAUUGCAAAAAGUGAAGCAAGUGUAGAGUGAAAAAAUAGCAGCCAAUAAGGUUGACAACCAAAGUUCUUGCUAUGAUUCAGGCUUGGCUAUUAGCAAAGUAGUGCUAGGUCAUCGCCGUUCGUUCUUACUCUAUUUUCUCGAGUCUUUGGUUUCUCUUUAUUCACUUUUCACUUUCUAUUUUCAUUAUCACUAUCCAUUUGGUAUCUUGGUUUCUCUUUGUUUAGUCUCCACCCUCUUUCUCCGGUACCUAUUUUUUUCAUUUGUAUGUCUAAGUUAAGAAUGAGAGGCUAGAUAAACAAACAGGAAAAUGCUCAGUUUGUUCAGGCCUUAGGGAUGCAUUCCAUCAUCACUGUCCAUCAACAAGUUCAACUCCGACAAUGGUUCACCGAUAAUGUGGGCCGGUGCACCACGUCAGCAACGUCGACGGCCUGACAGGCCAUUUUCCAACUGGGCCUAUUGUAAAUGACGAGACCAUGAGGAUGUAAUCAGUAAUGUUGCUCCUGAAAAUGAAGAUGUACUUUGCCGUUCCACUAAUCUCGGCAAAAGAGUAGAUUAUGGUGCUCCUUGUGCUAUAGUGGAAUUGAAUCACAAAAAAUUCUAUAAAUUCAUCAAACAAUGAAGGAGGUUAGUUUUUACCUGAGCGGCAACGGCGGCCACCAUGGUCUUGCUGGAGCCUCGCUUGCAGUCGAAAGUCAUCAGCUUCAGGGAGUGUCGGCACAGCCAGAAUAGACGCCACCUUCAGCGGGGAGCAACAGCAGCAACUGCGAGGAUUUGGCUCGCCGAUACGAGCAACGGCGGCGCCAUACCCCCUUCCGCAGCUCCGAGCUGCUGGUCCGCCGAGAUGCAGAUGGAGCCGACGAGCCGUUGCGCCUCCAAGCUACCGGGCCACCGAGAUGCAGAUGUAGUCGCAGCGCCUCUGAGCUGCAGCGAGAGCUGCUCCGCCGCCAAGCUGCAGCGUGAGCGGCCGUGAAAAUGGAGCCGAGCUUUCUCUCCAGUACGAGUACAGUGGGAGAGGGAACGAAUCCAAUGAACUGAUCGAUGGAACCAAGACCAACAGUCAACCACGUGGUGAUCUCUAUGCUAUAUGCGCCACGCGUGUGUAUAGGUGUCCAGAAUGCGUGGUUCUCUGUCACAGUGGCACAAUUGUAAUUUUAUUUUGGUGCUAAUUUGUAGCACUUUUAUGAUCUGUACUGUUUUGUCUGAUAUAUUCCAACAACUAUUCUUAGAAUAUAAGAGCCGCCUGCAGACGCCCUGCUCGUCCGCGGACAGUAAUUAGCCAGCACAAAAAAAUUGUAUUCAUGAUCAUAUACCUCAUUUGUAAAUCAUCAAACCCAUGCAAUUACAUGUAACUAAACUACUCUAAAUUUUUGCCGGCGACAA